rnacentral:lncRNA from 1 species
AACUUUUCCUCUGGUAAGGAAAGUCUUAAAGUGUGUUUCAUACAAGAAAAGCAUUUUUUAUCAUCAACUAAGUUCUUACUACUUAACAGUGACUGUGUGGUAAGAAGUACCAUUGCUUAGCUGUUUCUGGCAUAGGCUCGUGCUUACUACUGAUGAACUGCAGCUUACAGUCUUUAAGCGUGUUUGAAAAUGGUCAAGGUUCCAUUGCUGCUGUAUCACAGUCAACAGAGCAAGUGAAAGAAUUAGGGACCAAAUGUGUCCUCUGUAAACUACAAAGCUUUACGUGAUCAUUUCU